GUUAAAUGCUUUUUAAGUGAAAUUAAUCCUGCUUGUUACUCUUCAAAUUUCAAAUAAAGAAAGAAAGGUAAAUAAAAUACAUCAUAUAGAAAGAAAAAAGAAAAGUUCGGCUGUAUAGCUAUUGCUAUGGGUCUUCUUAUCCGAGGAAUGCUUCACACUGUCAAUUGCCUUUUAGUGGCGUACUGAGAAACUGUUCACCUCUCCCCGGUCAAUUUUAG
rnacentral:misc_RNA from 1 species